rnacentral:lncRNA from 1 species
AGAAGGGACAGCGAGGGGCUCUCAAGUUACUGGUCCCAGGGAUGCCGUCUGUGGAGACAACCCCAGGAUAUAAAGAGAACAGUAGGGAGUCUUGGUUUGGGUCGCGUCGGUGGCCACAGCCUUCGUCGUGCUCUGGAACCUCGGUCUUCGCAUCACCCUGCUCCCCCCACGUACUUGGUUUGCUCCGACUCUUGAGGUACUCGGCUGUGCGCACGGCCCCACGCGCAGAGAUUGAAGUCCUUGCUGCUAGUGGGUCGGGUCCUCGCUUUGUGCGGGGAUGCGACGUGCAGCAAUGGCGCUAGCCGUUCGAGUCGUGUAUUGUGGAGCUUGAGGCUAUAAGCCCAAGUGUGGCGAGGGGACUCCCCAGGUCACCGGGUUCUUUGAAGUGACGGUAGCCGGGAAGUUGGUUCACUCCAAGAAGAGAGGUGAUGGCUACGUGGAUACAGAGAGCAAGUUCCGGAAACUGGUGACUGCCAUCAAAGCCGCCUUGGCUCAGUGCCAGUGAGCCCUAGAGGCAGGGUCCUGAAGGCUCCUGGCCGGCCUUUCUUGGCAGCCGCUUCAUGACAGGAAGGACUGAAAUGUCUCAAAGACCUGUGGUCUUUCUUCGAUGUUCCUGCGGCCACCAAGUCAGGCCAGAGAUGGAUUCUGUGUGUGGGUGCCUUCCCAGAAUCUACCUGUGCACGCACCCCGCCCUGCCCUCCCGCCCUCUUCCUCACCUCUCUCUGAAUUCCCCCAUGUUUCCUACCUUCCCUCCUGCUUUGGUUUCCCGUCUCCCCCUCAAGACUGCAAGAAGACGGGCAGCCGUGUCGCCAGGUGUUCCUGGUUGAAUAAAGGUUGGCCAAGGCAACCUGAGGAAAUGUAGUUUAUUUUGCCUUGCAGUUUCGGGUCACAAUCCUGGAUGGGGAAUUCAAGGUAGCAGGGUCUUGAAGAAGCUGGUCACAUUGUAUCUGCAGGCAGAAAGCAGAGAGAUGGAGCUGGGUGAAACGGCCCAGCAGGCGAAGGCACUUACUGCCAAGACAUAGUCCGAGUUCAGUCCUUGAGACCCACAGACCACAUGGCGGAAUAAGACAAGCAACCCUGCUGACCUCUGUUGCCUGCUUUGGCACUCUGGAGAGUACACAAACGCACAUGCGUGUGAGCCCUCUCUCCUCCCCCCACCUUUCUCUCUCUCUCACACACACAUACGCACACACGCACACAGAAAAACUAUAAUACACAGAGUGGAGAACACAUGCUACUGCUCAGCUCCUGUAGUCCAGAUCUCCUGACUAUGGUCCCAUCCACAGUGGUUAAGAGCACUGGCUGUUC